UCUGGAUAAUUUCCAGUAAUGAAAGGAGCUUUCAAGCUCCGCUGAUUGAUGAGGAUGCGGCGCAUUAGCUAGUUGGUAGGGUAAUGGCCUACCAAGGCAAUGAUGCGUAGCCGAUCUGAGAGGAUGAACGGCCACAUUGGGACUGAGACACGGCCCAAACUUCUACGGAAGGCAGCAGUAGGGAAUUUUUCACAAUGGGCGAAAGCCUGAUGGAGCAAUGCCGCGUGACUGAUGAAGGUCUUCGGAUUGUAAAGGUCUGUUGUAAGGGAAGAAAUGGUAAAACAGGAAAUGGUUUUAUCUAUGACGGUACCUUACCAGAAAGCCACGGCUAACUAUGUGCCAGCAGCCGCGGUAAUACAUAGGUGGCAAGCGUUAUCCGGAUUUAUUGGGCGUAAAGGGUGCGUAGACGGUUUUGCAAGUCUGAGGUUAAAUUUAGGAGCUCAACUCCUAAUCGCCUUGGAAACUACAAGACUAGAGUAUAGGAGAGGUUAGUGGAAUUCCAUGUGUAGCGGUGGAAUGUGUAGAUAUAUGGAGGAACACCAGUGGCGAAGGCGGCUAACUGGCCUAUCACUGACGUUGAAGCACGAAAGCGUGGGGAGCAAAUAGGAUUAGAUACCCUAGUAGUCCACGCUGUAAACGAUGAGUACUAAGUGUUGCCAUAAAAGGCAGUGCUGUAGCUAACGCAUUAAGUACUCCGCCUGAGUAGUAUGCUCGCAAGAG
rnacentral:rRNA from 1 species